GGAGGGGUGGGUGAGUGGCUAAAACCAGCAGACUGUAAAUCUGCCGCCUCAGGCUUCGUAGGUUCGAAUCCUACCCCCUCCACCA
rnacentral:tRNA from 1 species